CAGGAUAGUACUGCAAAUGAAAAAGACAGAACUGCAGAAGAGAUUUUGGUCCGGAUAAAAUGUGGUGAAGAGAUUAAGCAUAAAAGAGUGAUUAUCACCUGUCUAGCCACCACUGAAGACCACACAUGUAAUACAUUUGAAGAGAUAACACCGGAACCAAUUGACUCACGCCUGUCUAAGAAAAUUCAAGAGAUGUGCCGCAGUGGGGUUACCAGCGUUGUUGCCAUGCGUACCAUACUGAACAGCUAUGUGAAAGAUAUAUGUACUCCACUGCCACACCCGUCAAACAGAAGAUUUUACCCAGUAGAUAAGUCCAUUUCCAAUUGUAUGUAUAGGGCAUUGAAGGGUGACAGGAAAGAAGACCAAGAAAGAGUUCUUGAUUUGUUGUUGAACUUGUUCCUUGCCGAGUUUUCAUUUAAACAACAGUCAGUGUGUCUUGACAGAAGAAGGGUGAAGAGGAAACCACCUUUUGGUACUGUAAGCCAGUCUGCACCAGCUAGAGGAGUGUGAAUGUGCUAUGUACGGAAAUCGAUUCCUGUUUGUGUACCAGUCUGAAGAGCAGAGAAGACUUCUCAUGCGAUAUGGGUCAAUGGUAUUCAUGGACGCUACGUAUAAGACCACAUUAUAUGAGUUGCCAUUGUUUCUGCUGGCAGUAAAAACAAAUGUCGAUUACCAGGUAGUCGGAACCUUUGUGACAGAGGAUGAAACUGUUGAAUCCAUUACAGAAGCUCUUACUAUUUUCCAUACAUCAUGUGCAGACUUUAAACCAGUUUACUUCAUGACAGACUUUGAUGAAAGAGAGAUUUCUGCAUUGGAGAAUGUAUUCAGUGACGCAACAGUACUGUUAUGUGACUUCCAUCGCAAUCAGGCCUGGGAGCGUUGGACCAAAAGAAAGGAUAAUUCAAUGGGACGGGCCAGUGACAUUAUUAAAUACUUGCAUCAGCUUGCAAAUGCACCAGACCCUGAUGUAUGGCAAGGUAAUGUCCAGCUGCAGCAAUACUGCCAAAGGGUCUGGUUUCCCCAC